UUUGGGGUUCCCCAUUUUUGGGGUUCAGGUUUUUGGGGUUCCCCAUUUUUGGGUUCCCCUGAUUCUGGGGUUCAGGUUUUUGGGGUUCCCCAUUUUUGGCGUUCAGUUUUUUUGGGGUUCCCCAUUUUUGGGGUUCAGGUUUUUGUGGGUCCCUGGUUUUUCGGGGUUCAGGUAUUUGGGCUUCCCAGUUUUUGGGGUUCAGGUUUUUGGGGUCCCCUGGUUUUUUGGGGUUCCCCAUUUUUGGGGCUCCCUGAUUUUGGGGAUCCCCAUUUUUGGGGUUCCCCUGAUUUUGGGGUUCAGGUUUUUGGGGUUCCCCAUUUUUGGGGUUCAGGUUUUUUGGGUUCCUGUUUUUUUGGGGUUCCCCAUUUUUGGGGUUCAGGUAUUUGGGGUUCCCCAUUUUUGGGUUCCCCUGAUUCUGGGGUUCAGUUUUUUGGGGUUCCCCAUUUUUGGGGUUCAGGUGUUUGGGGUUCCCCAUUUUUGGGGUUCAGUUUUUUUUUUGGAUCCCCAUUUUUAGGGUUCCCCAUUUUUGGGGUUCCCCUGAUUUUGGGGUUCAGGUUUUUGGGUUCCCCCAUUUUGGGGUUCAGGUUUUUGGGUCCCUGUUUUUUUGGGGUUCCCCGUUUUUGGGGUUCCCCAUUUUGGGGUUCAGGUUUUUGGGCUUCCCUGAUUUUUGGGUCCAGUUUUUUGGAAUUCCCUGAUUUUGGGGUUCCCGUGGUUUUUGAGGUUGUUUUUGGGGUUCAGGUUUUUGUGGGUCCCCCAUUUUGGGGUUCAGGUUUUUGGGGUUCCCCAUUUUUGGGGUUCAGGUUUUUGGGUCCCUGGUUUUAUUUGGGGUUCCCUGUUUUUGGGGUUCCCCAUUUUGGGUUCCCUGAUUUUGGGGUUAAGUUUUUUUGGUUUCAGGUUUUUGGAGAUUUCCCAUUUUGGGGUUCCCAGUUGUUGGGGUUCCCGUUUUUGGGGUUCCCGUGGUUUUUGGGGUUCCCCAUUUUUGGGGGUUUCCCAUUUUCGGGGUUCAGUUUUUCGGGGUUCCCCAUUUUGGGGUUCAGGUUUUUGGGUCCCUGUUUUUUUGUGGUUCCCCAUUUUUGGGUUCCCCUGAUUCUGGGGUUCAGAUUUUUGGGGUUCCCCAUUUUUGGCGUUCAGUUUUUUGGGGUUCCCAUUUUGGGGUUCCCCAUUUUUGGGGUUCCCAGGGGUUUUGGGGUUCAGGUAUU
rnacentral:lncRNA from 1 species